rnacentral:rRNA from 1 species
AAAUGAAUAGACGGGGACCCGCACAAGCGGUGGAGCAUGUGGUUUAAUUCGAAGCAACGCGAAGAACCUUACCAAGUCUUGACAUCCCGAUGCCCGGCAUAGAGAUAUGCCUUUUCUUCGGAACAUCGGUGACAGGUGGUGCAUGGUUGUCGUCAGCUCGUGUCGUGAGAUGUUGGGUUAAGUCCCGCAACGAGCGCAACCCUUAUCUUUAGUAGCCAGCAGUAAGAUGGGAACUCUAGAGAGACUGCCGGGGAUAACCCGGAGGAAGGUGGGGAUGACGUCAAAUCAUCAUGCCCCUUAUGACUUGGGCUACACACGUGCUACAAUGGCGUAAACAGAGGGAAGCAAACCAGUGAUGGGGAGCAAAUCCGAUAAAUAACGUCUCAGUUCGGAUUGUAGGCUGCAACUCGCCUACAUGAAGCUGGAAUCGCUAGUAAUCGCGAAUCAGCAUGUCGCGGUGAAUACGUUCCCGGGUCUUGUACACACCGCCCGU